rnacentral:rRNA from 1 species
GCAAGUCGAGCGAUCCUUUCGGGGAUAGCGGCGGACGGGUUAGUAACGCGUAGGAAUCUACCUGGUAGUGGGGGACAACUUGGGGAAACUCAAGCUAAUACCGCAUACGCCCUAAGGGGGAAAGUGGGGGAUCUUCGGACCUCACGCUAUCGGAUGAGCCUGCGUAGGAUUAGCUAGUUGGUGGGGUAAAGGCUCACCAAGGCGACGAUCCUUAGCUGGUCUGAGAGGAUGAUC